rnacentral:rRNA from 1 species
UACGGAGGGUGCAAGCGUUGUCCGGAUUUACUGGGCGUAAAGCGCGCGUAGGCGGCUCGUUAAGUGUGAAGUGAAAUCCCUGGGCUCAACUCAGGAACUGCUUUACAUACUGGCGAGCUUGAGGGAUGCAGAGGUCUGUGGAAUUCCUGGUGUAACGGUGAAAUGUGUUGAUAUCAGGAGGAACACCCAUGGCGAAGGCAGCAGACUGGGCAUCGCCUGACGCUGAGGUGCGAAAGCGUGGGUAGCAAACAGG